UACGUAGGGGGCUAGCGUUGUCCGGAAUUAUUGGGCGUAAAGAGCGCGUAGGCGGUCCGAUAAGUCGGCUGUGAAAGUCAGGGGCUCAACCCUUGAAAGCCGGCCGAUACUGUCGGACUAGAGUCCGGAAGAGGCAAGUGGAAUUCCCGGUGUAGCGGUGAAAUGCGCAGAUAUCGGGAGGAACACCAGUGGCGAAGGCGGCUCACUGGCCCGAUACUGACGCUGAGGUGCGAAAGCGUGGGGAGCAAACAGG
rnacentral:rRNA from 1 species